UAUGUUAUUAUUAAAUUUUGCUAAAGAUAUGUUUAUAUGAAUUACCAAGCUAGUGUUUAGAGUUUUGGAUGUAAUGAUAAGAACAUAAUUAUUGGGACGCAGUAAUCCCUCCGUAGGUAGAUCAAAUUUACAAAUGGUCUUACAAUUCUCUUUAUGAGCAAUAUCAGAACCACAUGUUCGUAUUUAUAAACAGAACUACUGGCCCCUUAAAACUCAAAAGAAUCUUCUCACAGAUAACAUCAGCAUCAAAAUGUAUGAUGAGUGGCUGAGGUUAUCUACAUGUUACAUAGUAACAGUUCAGUCAAUCAUUCUGUAGUAACCGCCUACUAUGCACUUGCCGAUGUUAUUAUCUAGAAUGGCACAGGAUUCGCCAAGGAAAAUGUCUAAAUCUCGUACAUGUAGAGUUUUCUAACAGUUUGCAAAAUACAUGUGACUGAAUUAACGAGUAAUUUUAACUCAGUAAAUGAUGUUUUAUAUUGGAUACUACGUUUUGGAUUUACUGGGAGAAGCCAAUAAAGAAAGGCUGAUGUUGAACCUUCAUAUAUGGCUACCUGGCAGGAUGGGAAAAGAUCUGGUAGACUGGCAAAAGAAGAAUGUGAAUAUCUAAUACACUGACUAUGUGGAAUCAUGAACUAUUUUCUCUAAAAGAGGAAUAACGUUAUGCUUAAUUGUUUUACCAUUUGCCAAUUAAAGGACAGAAACAUGUAGAUACUUAAUAAUAUUACAACAAUAUAUUGUUGAGUAAGAUCAAAGCUCAUAUGAAAUAAAUAUAUAUUAAACUGUAUUUCACAUAGACAUGCAAACAUUUUCAUAAAGCGAUCAUUCAUAACA
rnacentral:lncRNA from 1 species